rnacentral:rRNA from 1 species
AUGCACGCUGGCGGCGUGCCUCAUACCUGCCAGUCGAGCGAACAGACGAGGAGCUUGCUCCUCUGACGUUAGCGGCGGACGGGUGAGUAACACGUGGAUAACCUACCUAUAAGACUGGGAUAACUUCGGGAAACCGGAGCUAAUACCGGAUAAUAUAUUGAACCGCAUGGUUCAAUAGUGAAAGACGGUUUUGCUGUCACUUAUAGAUGGAUCCGCGCCGCAUUAGCUAGUUGGUAAGGUAACGGCUUACCAAGGCAACGAUGCGUAGCCGACCUGAGAGGGUGAUCGGCCACACUGGAACUGAGACACGGUCCAGACUCCUACGGGAGGCAGCAGUAGGGAAUCUUCCGCAAUGGGCGAAAGCCUGACGGAGCAACGCCGCGUGAGUGAUGAAGGUCUUCGGAUCGUAAAACUCUGUUAUUAGGGAAGAACAAAUGUGUAAGUAACUAUGCACGUCUUGACGGUACCUAAUCAGAAAGCCACGGCUAACUACGUG